GCGUAGAGGCAGGACACACAAACAUGAGGGAGGUGACAGGAGGUGAAACGCUUGACUCCACCUUAAACACAGCUCAACCUGCCAUUCGUUCAGAGAGAAAAAAAAACAAGAAGGAGAACAAGAGGGAGAUUUUGUGUCCAAAGUAGGACUGCAAUACCCGGAGAAAGAACUAUUAGCAUUCUACCCAGUGUUUUACUUAAUCUUUACAAUUUGGCAACCAUGCACAUGCGCUCUUUCUACACUGUGAAAGCUCUGCCGAUGUUCUUCUGAAAACACAGACAAACAAGGCCGAUAGCGCUGAUAGGCCGGACUCGUGACUCCCAACAAAUCAGUUGAGCGGUGGGCGGAGCUUGCUCUAGGCCACAGAGUGGUGUCUCAGAGUGAGAGGAAGAAGAGGCAGAGCUGGCCCCGUCCUCAGCCCCGCCGCCCUGAGACAGCAGCCCUCUCCCCGGUGGAAGCUUCAUGCCCAGCUGCUCGGCCAUCUCCACAUGAUCGCCCGGGUGAACGUAGU